rnacentral:rRNA from 1 species
UACGAAGGGGGCUAGCGUUGCUCGGAAUCACUGGGCGUAAAGCGCACGUAGGCGGAUUGUUAAGUCAGGGGUGAAAUCCUGGAGCUCAACUCCAGAACUGCCUUUGAUACUGGCGAUCUCGAGUCCGGGAGAGGUGAGUGGAACUGCGAGUGUAGAGGUGAAAUUCGUAGAUAUUCGCCAAGAACACCAGUGGCGAAGGCGGCUCACUGGCCCGGUACUGACGCUGAGGUGCGAAAGCGUGGGGAGCAAACAGG